rnacentral:misc_RNA from 1 species
AUAUAUAUCAACCACUUCUUUGUUGAGUGGCUUGGAUGUGGGGGUUUUUGCUGGCCUCUUUGAAAGGGUCAGCUCCCCUGAAAUGCAUUAGCAGAACCAACCUGUUCAUUGGUGUGAUAACUAUCUACGCUAUUGAACGGUGAAGGCAGUUCAGCUUCCUAACCGUCCUCACGGACAAUUUAUCAUUU